UUUGAUAUGUAUCGAGAUAAUGCCAGCCUAUUCUCUUCUACAAUAGUUUUAAAGCCACCGGCAGAUUGCCACAACUUAGCUUAAUGUCUUAGUUGUGAAUCAGAUAUCAGACAUACUUUUUGUUAAUGAUAGCGAGGAUGUAUAUGAAACGACAUAUGAUUUUGGAGACAAUAUGGAGGAUUACCGUGUUACCAGUAACUUAUUAGGUAAAGAUAUUAUGUGUAGUAUACCGAUGACAUAAUAUCUUUAACUCAUUUAAAUUUACUUUUAUUGUCCUCCUGUCUUAUUUAUGUGUCGAGGCAUGUACCUAUUGUUUUAUAUAUGUAGACCAUUUUAUGUGCGUAGCUGAUUUGGAUAUUUAUAGUGGUAAUAUAAAGAAUGACUCUGUAUAGUGUAUAUAAAAUCAUAUACUGUGAGAAAUUUAGUUGAGUGAAGAAAAAGGAAAAAACGUAUACGUAAAUUUUCUUUUAAUAAAAUUCUUGGUGUGGCAUUGAACACCAUGAUAUUGAAUGGGGCUUUGGCUACUAGAUCCCAAGAAGAAGAAAAAUUAACUAGAGUUGUGGCGGAGAAGUUAUUUAUAUAUACGUCAAAAAUGGUCUUUUAUUUUUGAUAUUCAUCGAUAAUUUACAGCACGAUAGAUAUUGCUACAAUGUAAAAUAUAUUAAAUUGCCUAAAGGAAAAUAUAUUUACCUUUUUUAACUUCAUGUGUUGUUUUAUUUUGUUCUUAAAAUCCCUUAUUUAGUUAAACUAUAUUGAUUUAUUUUGGAAGUGUGUUUAUGACAAGAAUUGCAUAUUUCUUAACACCUAACCUUUUAGUUCUCAUUUUUUAUGAGCAGAUUCCUAGAUAUUGCUCAUAAUGCAUUGGCCAUUAAUUUUAUUUUAUUUUCCUUUCCCUUGUCCACCUUUUACUUUUUCUCUAGGAGUUCUUGUGUGGAUGAUCUUUUAUCAAAGUUGGAUUCUCUUUUUCAUGCAGGUGGUUGGAACAUUGUCCUUAUUGCUUGCUCAAUCUCCCAAGCUACACAAAUACUGGUCUUACACUUGCUCACCGUAUUUAUUAUAGUUGGUAAAUAUCUUAAUUAUGAUAUUUACUUGCUUUUGUUUGCCCUCUAACAUACUAUUGAUAUGCCUAUUACUUCUGUUGAGUUCAAAAUUGAGUAGUGUGCAGUUAAUAGUAGUAAUCACAAUAAAACAGUCAUAUAUUCUUCGACGGAGAUAUAAUUUCUAAAUUUUACUGUUGUAAAUACAUAAAAAGUUAUGGUGACCAUGAGUUUUUUUAUUUUUUUAUAUUUUGUUGUUUAUAUGUGUAUCAUUUUCUCAUUUUAUGACUUAUGAUCUUUAACUAUGUUUCUCUUCAUAGUUUGAGCGUAUAAUCAUAGUUACUUCAUCGUAGAUGAUCUCUUCAUCAAAUUACUUAGGUUUUUCUUUCAAGCGUUCUUCUUUUCUGAUCUUCAGCUUAGGCUUUGUUUGUAGAGUGAAGAAAUAUAUGUACUCUCUGGCAAUUAGGGGAAUUGCAUUUGCUUCGCUUCAUCGGAACGACAUAUAAUUUCAUAAAUUCUACUUACAGUCUUUAGAGACUAGAGUUAUAAUUUGCUUCAAUUUGAUCAAGUAAAAUUUAUUCCCUUUGGUGGAUUAAAAUUUUAUAAUCUUUAUUCAAUAAAUUUAUAUUUAUUACUGGAAAAAUAUUAUAAGGUGUAAUUACCUUAUAAGAGAAUAGACUCCCAGACUUGCCAUUAUGAAAAUUUAACUUUUUUAAGUACUGUUUUAUUUCUCCUCCCUCCUAUUUAAAGUCCUUUUUGUAAGAAGUUUUUUUUUCCCUCUCUAAUGCUUGCAUUGUAAUUUAUGUUUAUGUUCAGAAUCUCAUGAUUCUAUUCCUUAUAUUUGUGUUACUUAAAUAUUUAAUAAUAAAAAAAAAAUCUCAUAGCAUAUAUUAUUAGCUUCUUUAAUAUUUUAAUUCCUGAGUUUUCACUACUAAGGUUUUCCUCCUCCAAUUUCUUCGCCCUUCUCUCUUUAGAGAUUUUGUCGGUUCAUUACUUUAGUAUUUUUCUGUUGUCUUUGAAUUUCUUUUUAGGAUGGUGGACAGCGGGAUCGAUCUCUCAUUCGUGAUACUUAUCCGUUCAAAGUGUGAGGAAGAUCGAUGGAGUUGAAUGCGACAACUCUAAGAAAGGAUUUAGUACUUUAAUUUGUCUGUGAUUGUUUUGAGUAUUAUUUAGCUUAUGCAAACUCCUUUCGCUCUCUAUUGUAUCUUUGUUGAUUCGCGACUUUUGCCUUUGCAUUAUUCUUCUUAUAAUAUAGCUAAUGACCUGAAGAUUUAGAAAUUGCCUUUCCUCUAUUCUGAUCCAUCUCUUAUUAAUAAAUUUUCUUGGCGUUAAGUGUUUAUCAUUCGGAAAAUCUACUCAAACCCUGUGUUAGAAAAAUGGUAUAAGCAUAGCUUUGUAUAGUUUUGUCAUGUAAAAUACCUCAUUUGGCCAUGUAAAGAUACAGCGGCC
rnacentral:lncRNA from 1 species